rnacentral:SRP_RNA from 1 species
AGCCGGGUCCCGUACAAUGGAGGAUUGUGAACCCCGUCAGGUCCGGAAGGAAGCAGCGGCAGCAAGACCAACGUGUGUUGCGGUCAAGCCCGGCUAUC